rnacentral:rRNA from 1 species
CCUACGGGAGGCAGCAGUGGGGGAUAUUGGACAAUGGGGGGAACCCUGAUCCAGCGACGCCGCGUGAGUGAAGAAGUAUUUCGGUAUGUAAAGCUCUAUCAGCAGGGAAGAAGAAAGACGGUACCUGACUAAGAAGCCCCGGCUAACUACGUGCCAGCAGCCGCGGUAAUACGUAGGUGGCAAGCGUUAUCCGGAUUUACUGGGUGUAAAGGGAGCGUAGACGGCUGUGCAAGUCUGAAGUGAAAGCCCGUGGCUCAACCGCGGAAGUGCUUUGGAAACUGGAUAGCUUGAGUACUGGAGAGGAGGGCGGAAUUCCAAGUGUAGCGGUGAAAUGCGUAGAUAUAAGGAGGAACACCAGUGGCGAAGGCGGCCUGCUGGACAGAAACUGACGUUGAGGCUCGAAAGCGUGGGGAGCAAACAGGAUUAGAUACCCGGGUAGUC